GAUGAACGCUGGCGGCGUGCCUAAUACAUGCAAGUCGAGCGAACAGACGAGGAGCUUGCUCCUUUGACGUUAGCGGCGGACGGGUGAGUAACACGUGGAUAACCUACCUAUAAGACUGGGAUAACUUCGGGAAACCGGAGCUAAUACCGGAUAACAUGUUGAACCGCAUGGUUCAACAGUGAAAGACGGUCUUGCUGUCACUUAUAGAUGGAUCCGCGCCGCAUUAGCUAGUUGGUAAGGUAACGGCUUACCAAGGCAACGAUGCGUAGCCGACCUGAGAGGGUGAUCGGCCACACUGGAACUGAGACACGAUCCAGACUCCUACGGGAGGCAGCAGUAGGGAAUCUUCCGCAAUGGGCGAAAGCCUGACGUAGCAACGCCGCGUGAGUGAAGAAGGUCUUCGGAUCGUAAAACUCUGUUAUUAGGGAAGAACAAAUGUGUAAGUAACUAUGCACGUCUUGACGAUACCUAAUCAGAAAGCCACGGCUAACUACGUG
rnacentral:rRNA from 1 species